UCCAGUAAACGAAAGCUGACUAUAGCCAAACGUGGCUGAUGUUUCUUUUUCCCUCGGGGUUGGCAGGUCCUGCCUGCCUUUCCAUCUGCCCAGUGCUGGCCUUGAACACCCGGAGUGGCUUCUCUGCACGCUCUCCUGUGGGCUGCCUUCCUGCCUUGGUGCCUGCGCCCAGAGCUUGAGACCCAUUUCUGUCUGCAAGAGGACUGUGGUCUCUGCCCUUGCUCCGCUGAGCUCUGGCUGCCGCCUGCAUCCAGCAUGCGUUCCAGCAACCCCCGUCCCGGCUCCAGGACGAGCUCAUCUGGGGCCUGCUACCAGGUACAGUGACCCUCCCCUUCCCUUGCAGACAUCAACUGUGAGUCAGCCCUGAACGCAGGUCCCCAGUAUACCCAUACCUUGCCAGCCUCAUCCUCAGUGCACACUCCCAGCUAGGAGUAGGGAUUCGGGGUGAGUGAGACACAGCCCCGUCCUCAGGCCUUGGCCUUUCUGACUCAGGAGGCUGACACACACGUGCACCAAUGAGGGACACAAGUACACUGUCUUCUGUGACGGGGGCAGGGCGGUGAGCCUGGGAGAGCCCAGAAGAAGCCUGGAGGGCUUCCUGGAAGAGGUGGUGCCAAAGGUGUGUGAUGUUCCAUAUGAUCUCCACAGUCCUUGGGUGUAAGCAUCCCAGAGAAAGACACCUCCAUGGGGACUGUUGAGUCUAUCGCUACUGGCUAGGUGGCAUUUGGUGACAAAGGAACAAAUGGUCCGAGCUUCCUCUGCCUAGUCCUGGAUUGUUGGGGGUCUGGUUUCUUCAGGGCGACAGAGACACAGCCAUGGCUGACUGUUCUGGGGCCCUGGCUCCUGCCUUGCUCCUCUCUCCAGAACACGGGACACUGCGGUUGACCCCUAAACAGCUCUGUUCCUCCACCCCCCUGUCUCCGUACCCUUUGCACUAUGAUGGGGCAGCUCUUCCCAUCAGGGGUGGGGUCUAGAUCCCCCCGCUUUGAAUCUGCGCUGGCUCCGUGACUUGCUCUGGCCGACAGAAUGUGGUGGAAAUGAUGCCGUGCCAUUUUCAGGCGUAGGCCUCAAAGAGCCUCGUGGCCUUGCGUGCCCACCCUCUCGGGACCCUGGCACCACCAUGUGCAGAAGCCCAGACGGCCUCCUGGAAGAAUGGGACACGUGUAGCCUACUCACCACCGCCCCUAGUCGCCCCGGCCAACAGCCAGCCGGCAAUCAGCCGACCCCUGCCAUUGACCACACAUGCUUGAGGGAGCCCGGAAGACCUGCCCGAGCAGCUAGCUGCCCAGCUAAGUCAACAGUUGGUGCAAGCCGCUACAUUUCGGGGUGGUUAUUCCGCAGCAGAAACUAACUGAUCCCGGCAUCCCAGCAUUCUGGGCAGGAUGCACAGGCUGCAGGAUCUAUAGGCAGAGGCCUGGCUGCAGACAGAUGGACUGGUGGCCUCGGGAACGUCACCUGGCCCUCAUGUUUGCUGUCACCUGGGUUCUGCUCUACAGCUAGGAUCUGCAGUCAGCACAGUUACGACCAAGGUCUAGUUGGCCCGGGAGCGGCUGCGCCUAAGCCAUCUGGCCUCCUCUGCGGUUUCCUGGACCUACCCAGGGCCUUCCAGCCGCUUUCCGUGACACUCCAGGUGAAAGCCAAAUGCCUCACCAUCCCACACGAUGCUCCCUACUCCCACCCUGCUCCCAGCUUUGCGCCUCUCACUGCACUCCAGACACACCUGCCUCCAACCCAUAAGACCCAACCUGACCUCCGGGCCUUUGCAUGUGCAGCUCUCCUGACUAGCAUGCUCUUCCCGGAUACCCGCACGGCUCCCCCCCAUUUCCUUCAGGCUCUGACCCAGUAGGUUUGUUAAACAAACCGGAGAUCACAGAUCUUUCUUACAAAUGGCCUGCGUCACUCCCUGCACACUCCUCCCGCUUUAUUUCUUUUCAGAGCAAUUAGCAUGACUGGGUGCAAAAGUGUCCACAUUGUGAGACAUCCAGUGGGAGCCAGGAAGGUCAGGAAGGGGGAGUGGGAUGCUGAGAAAGACGUCGGCGUUGGGACCUUCAUAGCAUACAGCCACUGGCUGGGAGCCGAUGUGUCCUGAAGCAGCCUGGCACCCCCCACUGCCAGACAAACCAGCAGAGACACCGUUGGCAGUGCUUCAGCCACAUGUAGGAGCCGGUAUCGCACUCGGCAGCACAAGCCCAGAUUUAUGGCCAUGGCAUAACUGCUUACAAGUGUCAUGCAGGUGACACAUGUUUGUCAAAAACACCUCGUCUUGAGGUGGCCACAGAGAGCAGUUCCUGGAACACAAGGGGCUUUGCAAAGCAAGGCGUCCCUGGGGCUCCUGCCUUCUGAAACCCCUUAAUCGAGGGCCCAGCAUUUAGGGCCCUUCUCAGAGUUUCUAGAGCCUACAAAAGAGAGAAGUCUCUAACUGGAGCUGGGACUCCCUGGCCGCAAACAGGAGCAACACCGGCUGGCCUGGCUCAGCCUCAGAAGCCGGGGAGGGCACCCUCCAGGGCCUCCAGGAGACCCAGGGCAGGCCCAGACCCACCAUGGAUCCAGGGUUCAGGGACAAAGCUCUUCUGCACUCCGUGAGGGGCCCCAUGGCAGACCCAUCCCCGGGUCCUGGGCCAGUCACCAGGAGGGAGAGCUAGGGCCUGGUCGGGGUCCAGGGAACCAUGCAGUCUCGUGGUAAAGAGCGUGGAAUCUGGAGCCUCAUAACGGCUCUGAGCCUCAGCUUCCGCAUCUGUAAGAUGAGUGUAAAAACAGUGUCUCUACACAGGGUGGCGAGGACCCCACGGAGUGCUCAGACCGGGCCCCGGCACAUCACAAAUGCUGCAGAAGUGAGUUGUCAUCCACAUCAUCAGAGGCCAUGACUCUGCAUCACUCAGAGCAAGGGUGGAGCCUUCCCGGCAAGGAUUCGACUCUGUUCCAGGAAGAAGAGAGGCAAUGAGCAAAAAGACCACAGCAGGCAUGUCGUAGAGGAGGAAACGGAGUGCACAGAUGAACACGGGAAAAGCUGCCCGAUGUCACGAGGAUGCAGGGAAGUGCAAGGUAAGGUCCCCGUGAGAGAUUUCACAUCCAUCAGGCUCACAGCGAGGAAGACAUGUGACAUCUGACAGCACCGAGGGUCUGAGAGGAUGGAGAUCAGCUGGCACCCGCGGUUGAUGAGUGUGAAACCUGGUCUGGCCACACUGAAAACCGCUUUGGCCUUUUCUUGUUAGGUUGACCAGUCCCAUGCCUUAGCACCCUGCAAAUCCACUCCCAGGAGUCACACAAGGCACACCCAAGAAGAGUUCGUCGCAGCACUGUUAGCAAGAGGAGGGGGAGAGAGGAAAUGACCCAGAUACUCCCUGACAGAGCAAUGCAAAAAGAAAUUGUAGCACGGUCACACAAUUUCUUUCCACACUGGUGACAGCAAACUCCAGCUACACAGCAGCACAGCUCAAGCUCAGAGAGAGGGAAAUGUUGAGUACAAAAAUGCAAAUUUUUGAGAUCUACGUACAGAGAGCAAGUUUUUAGAGCUUGAGAACGAAGAAGCAAUCUAAUGUUUAGGCUUAUUCAGUCGGCCUGUGAGCAAGAGAAUGGCAAACAAACAAACACCAAAUUGCAGAGAGGGGUGACCUCCAGGCCAGGAGAAGAUGGAAGUGACUGGGAAUGUUCUAGUUCUGGAGUUGAGCUGUGGGCCCACGGAUGUUCAUUGUCCCACCAUCCUUCAUAAUGCACGAAACACACGAAGUAUUAAAACAGAACAGAGGCAAAGGGGAAAAACAAGAAGAGAAACAUGGUGUGGGUCCAGACACAUCCAGUAUGAUUUCCUUGUCACACACAUAGUUGACUGUUUUCACGUGGUGUCACGGGGGGUCCCAAGAGUUCCGUCGAGAGGCCAGAGCGGGAAGUGAAAGGACAGGCAAUUGGACGAGGGCAUUCUUCCCUCUGGGCCUCAGUUUCUCCAUAUGCAAAAUGAGGGGGUGUACCAGGAGUGCCAAAUGGCUGGCGUGCAUAACCCAGGCCUCCCCUUCCUCACCCGCUGCGGACACUACUCAUGGAUUGCAGCACUGUUUCACAUGGAGCACAGACACGCAGCGUUGGGCUCCGCAGCUGGGCCCUGCAGGCUGCCGGGGAUGCCAGUCUGAGAGGGCACACUAAGUGAUACCUACGUGCUGAUCUGGAGAGACCCAGAUCCCUCCAGCUGUGGCCUGGAAGGUUCUGAAGCCUCACCAGCAGGCACUAGCUAGUCUGAGAGGCAGGGGCCCUAGGGAGGAGCCGACUGGCUUUGGAACUGACCCUAGCCGGACCCUGGCAGCGUGCAGCCUCAGCGUCUACACUGCCCACGCCUGUGGCCUCCGGUCCGCCGCGGGAGGGCCCCUGGCCCCCCCAUCAUCUGACCAGAGCCCGUGCUCCCAUCCGUCGGGUGGGCAGGCUCAUGUCUACGCUCUGCGGGUGAGCUCUGCUGGACCUGAAAACGGCAAGAUGGGCGGAGGGCCAGGCAGGAGCUCAGCUUCACCCUCUAGCCCAGAGAGCCGUGGAAGCGGCCCUGUUGUGCCAGAUUCAACCAGCUCUCUGAGGCAGGAGGAUGGCGUUCCUUUCACCACCGCCUAGGCCUGCCUGGGCCUGCAGGCCUUUGCUCCUCUGCUCCCCUCCCUACCUGCCCCCCCCGCCCCUGCCUGUCCCCUCUUCCUCCCCUUAUGGUCCCAGCUCACAAGACUCCUCCUUGGUAGUGCUAUUCCAUCUACCUCCCACCCCCCACCCCCCCAGUGAGUGCUGAAGUCCCUUCCUCUAGACAAGCACCACACAGAGGUCAGCUUUCCUGAGGAGAGCUUGUGUGCUGGGUCUGGUCCAGUUUCUGUGGGUGUCUGUCCCCUCCAGUAUGGGGAGCCCAGCAGGGUCCACCUCACACCCGCAUGAAGAUAAUACCAUCAAACAGCCACAAUUCCUUGGAAUCAAUGGGCUUCUCCGAGAACUGUCCACCUACUGCCUCAGCCGCACAGCCAGUGAGGUUGGCAGUCGGGGAAUGGUACCUCCCUCCCUAUUCCAACAGCGAGAAACUCAAGGGCCACAGAGGGGGGUGACUUUUCCAGCAUCACUGCCCACCCUCCUACCUUCUGGGAGGCCGAGAAGCUUUUCUGUCAUGUCCCAUCAGGGCCCUCAAACCCCAGGAAACACCUCACUUUCCCAGAGCAGGGGCCGGCUGAGUGACCACAGCCCCUAAUCAUGGAGCAUCUGGUUUCAUCCUGGUCCCUGCGGAUUCUUUUAACAACAAGAUCACGCGGAGAGACAUCAUACCCAGGGACGUGAUGCUUCGGCGAUUCGUCUCUCUUUCAUUUUGUUCACCUGACACACGUUUUAAAUGACUACUGGGCUGUGUACACAGGAAGCCUUGAUUCACUAGAAAGAGCCGUGGCGGGUUUUCUUAGAAGAAGACAAAGUCAGGAAUUUAAGGCAUCCAGACGUGUCCAAUGAGCAGAGUGGAGACAAAGAUGUCUCUCCCGCUGCUGUGUCCGGGAACACAGCUGCCCACACACGCCCACCACACCCUCGGAUCAGAGCCUGCCACUGAUAUCCACGGUGUGAAAGGGCUUGGAACCCACUGUCAUCAUUAUCACCAUCCCUCGACCCCAGGAAGCCAACACCAUGAGCUUGCAAAGGCACUCCAACAGGAACGCUCACUUGUGUUCCCAGGAAUACACACAGACGCCAGAUAUUUACUUCUGGUUCCAACUUCUCCUGGGUUCAUCCUCUUUCAAGUCCUGGAAACUCUGGGCACCACUUCUUGCCCUACAAUCCCUCCGUCAGAUCCCCCCAUCGCCCACUCUCCCAGGAAGCUCCCCCGACCUGGACACCUCCAAAUCCUCCUCAAAGCCAUCUCUGACUCCCCCUCUUCCUGGCCUUCUCGCUGGCCUCUUUACACUAAUUUCCUGCUAGAACGAUCAUAAUGGGUUCAAAUGCUGCCGCUUGCACACCUAUCUCCCCCGUCACGGGGCAGGUUGUGGGAGCAGGGCGCAGGGCUGAUGUACCCCCUUACCUCCAGCCCCUCUGCAUGGGCCCGGGCACAUCGGUGGGGGGUGGAGUAGGGCCUCAAAGAAGCAUGAUCUAAAUCCCUGGGCUCUGUUUUCCUCCAACUUAGAGUGUAGUGAAAGAGCUCUAAUGACAAAGAAGGUAAAUUCUAGGUAUUCUGAACAGAGACCAGGCAAUCCUUUCCUGAGUACUUCACAGCGAAGCCAAGACCUCACUGGUGAGUAACUGUCAACUGCCCAACAGUGGGAGUGAAGAACUUUCCCAGGAGAGAGAGAGUCACAGACAAAUGUUGUAAGGAGGGAGGGAGCAACCUGUGUAAGGACCGAAAGGCCAGUGGUGCCUCAGCAAAGCAAUGGGGCGAUGGGCAAGAGUUCAUGGAUUAUGCGUAUCGGUUAGGUUAGGAUGGGUUACGCUGCGUAACACACAAUCCUCUAAAUCUCUGUGGCCUACAAUAAAGUUUCUUUAUGUCUCAGACUA